UACGUAGGGACCAAGCGUUGUUCGGAUUUACUGGGCGUAAAGGGCGCGUAGGCGGCCAGCACAAGUCAGUUGUGAAAUCUCCGGGCUUAACUCGGAAAGGUCAACUGAUACUGUGCGGCUAGAGUGCAGAAGGGGCAACUGGAAUUCUCGGUGUAGCGGUGAAAUGCGUAGAUAUCGAGAGGAACACCUGCGGCGAAGGCGGGUUGCUGGGCCGACACUGACGCUGAUGCGCGAAAGCCAGGGGAGCGAACGGG
rnacentral:rRNA from 1 species